rnacentral:pre_miRNA from 1 species
UUAAUGCUAAUUGUGAUAGGGGUUUUGAGUUCUGAUGAGCUCCUACAUAUUAGCAUUAGCU